AGCAGCCGCGGUAAUUCCAGCUCCAAUAGCGUAUAUUAAAGUUGUUGCAGUUAAAAAGCUCGUAGUUGAACUUCGGGGUCUACCCAUUGGUCAGGCUUAAUUGUCUGCACUGGUGAGAUAGAUCUCUACCUUCUGAGGAACUUUCAUGCCAUUUAUUUGGUGUGGUUGGAAAUCAGGACUGUUACUUUGAAAAAUUAGAGUGUUUAAAGCAGACUAUCGUCUGAAUACAUUAGCAUGGAAUAAUGAAAUAGGACGGACUGAUUCUAUUUCGUUGGUUUCUAGGAUCACCGUAAUGAUUAAUAGGGAUAGUUGGGGGCAUUAGUAUUCAAUUGUCAGAGGUGAAAUUCUUGGAUUUAUUGAAGACUAACUACUGCGAAAGCAUUUGCCAAGGAUGUUUUCAUUAAUCAAGAACGAAAGUUAGGGGAUCGAAGACGAUCAGAUACCGUCGUAGUCUUAACCAUAAAACCUAUGCCGACUAGGGAUCGGACGAAGUUAAUUUUAUAAUGAACGCGUUC
rnacentral:rRNA from 1 species